CACGUGGGAUCUUAGUUCCCCAACCAGGGAUCGAACCUGUGCCCCCUGCAGUGGAGGCAUGGCAUCUUAACCACUGGACCACCAGGGCACAGCCCCUCUCAGAGAACAUGCUCUACCACAUGCCUGGCAGCCGUGGCAGCACAAUUCUCUUGUUCCUGGAGCCCAAGGAGCAAGCAAAGGACCUGGGGCAGCCAGUCUACAGGCUGCCAAAGCUCUAUGUUGGCCGGAAAAGAGCCUGUCAUCAGCUUUGCUGCACACGGCCCUGGAGGAGCUGAGCUGGCCCUUGUUUAAGGAAAGCCAGCAAAUCCACGCAGAUGUUUUUCUGAGAGCUGUUCCGACCAGGGCUCAGGGAUUUCGCCCUGCCUGGUAUCACAUAGCACGCGGGAGGAUGGGACUUCUCACUGUGGAGCAGGAAGUAUAUUACAAGAAAUCAAAAUGUAAGUGGGUUCUUUUUGAUUAGGCCAUGUUUUUCUCUUCUGUUUUUCUUUACAUAACCUUAUCACUCAGCUCCUUUAUUUUUCCCCUCUGCCCUCCUUGGCUCUCAUGCCCACUCUGGUGUGCAGGACAAACUCAACCCACCAGGCGCUCUGGGUGGCACGGUUUCUAGCUCCACUCCAACCUCAUCAGAGGCUCACUAAGGCUUUAAUCACCUCAUUUUCUUAUCUGACACAGAAAUCCUACUCCACCUAGUUUUUCAGAGCCCAGGAGACCUCUGACUUACAACCCAAGAGGCCAGAGAGAAGGAUGCUUUGUCCAGAGCGCAGCCUGAUUCCUGCUCCCAGGACGGUCAGCAUCGCCUCCCUCCUGCCGCCUGCCCCUCUCAGUUGCUCACAUCCCCGACCAGAACCUGCUCUGCACACAAGCAUCUUACAUGCUUUAAGGGGUGAAACAGACUCCCCACACCUCAUAUUUCUUUAACAGUGUACAAGGCAUUUCAUUUCAUAAUCUGGGAUGAAACAGUCAAUGCAAAUCCCCUGCGAGAGGAAUGGGAACCGAAUUCAAGGUUUGGCACCAAUGGUCUCGUCUCAGCUCAAAGCAGAGAAGGACCCUGAUAACGUGUUUCAAGCAUGUGUCAUACCCCUAAGCCAGCACUUCCCCAAUCAGGCCUCAGGCUGAUGUGAAAGCAGCUUGUAACCAACAGGAAGGCAGAAGGUUCAGGAGGAAACCAAAGCUUCCAUCUCGAGAGACUUGAUUCAUCUGCACCCUCCACAGACUAAGCUUCAGAUGUAUCAUAUGCUGACUUCUGCUACAGCUCAGGAUCAUUUUGGACAGAGGUACGAUGAGGUGAUGAGGUCCAACCAAGAGGCUACAGGACUGGGCUCCUCCCCAUCUCCAGAGUCCCACUCAGCACAGGGAUUUAUGUUGGCCUCUCCCAGAACCGUGGAAGGCUACCUAAUGUUUCAGUCAAGUGCAGCUGACUGGGGUCUUUAAC